rnacentral:rRNA from 1 species
CCUACGGGGGGCAGCAGUGGGGAAUUUUGGACAAUGGGCGCAAGCCUGAUCCAGCAAUGCCGCGUGCAGGAUGAAGGCCUUCGGGUUGUAAACUGCUUUUGUACGGAACGAAAAGCUUCGGGCUAAUACCCUGGAGUCAUGACGGUACCGUAAGAAUAAGCACCGGCUAACUACGUGCCAGCAGCCGCGGUAAUACGUAGGGUGCAAGCGUUAAUCGGAAUUACUGGGCGUAAAGCGUGCGCAGGCGGUUUUGUAAGACAGUGGUGAAAUCCCCGGGCUCAACCUGGGAACUGCCAUUGU